rnacentral:tRNA from 1 species
GUCUCUUUCGUCUAGCUGGUUAGGACGGUGUGUUGUGGUAGAAAUGCGACAGCCCGCGCAAACCCGCGUUCGAAUCGCGGAGGGGACA